UCCUCGAUCUUGGACGAUUUUGCACCUACAAAACAAUUAACACCUUAGGUUAAGACCAAGAGCCUCACGCGCCCACGAUGAAUGGGGGGGGGGCUUUGGCCGAAGAACCUCCGAUGCCAAAGUUAGAAUUUAGAGAGAAAGAGUGUUUAGAGAAUUUUGGGAUUUUUGCCAAAGUGUUGGAAUUAGCUUUUUGGUGAGAAUGGGAGUAUAUUUAUAGGGAUAGGAGGUGGCUAGGGUUUUUAGGUUUAAUUAGCCAAUUUAUUUGGCUAUUAAACAUAAAAUGAAUGUUUUGGUGGUUUUUUGUAUAAUUGGCUAAUAAAAAGGAAGAAAUGGUGGGAAAAGGUAGAAAAAAGGUAAUGGAUUAGGUUUUUCAAUGGGAUAGCCGGCCCUCUUGUGUUUUUAGGUUUGAGUGGAUGUUUCAAAUUGACAAUUAAGGGAUUGAUUAGGUAAUUAAUCCCUUAAUUAGUCAAUUAUUAUGAUUUUAUGAAAUAUGAAAGGAAUAAGUAUAUUAUUUAGCUAAUUGAUUAGCUAAAUAAUGAAAUGGGAAAUAUAUGAAUAAAUUAGGUUUUAAGUUGAUACCUAUUUUGGGCACUUUUGACUUGGUUGAAAAAAUGAUUCUCUACUGCUCGCGUGUAGGAAACCCGGUAUGCCUCGAGGGUAUUUUUGUCCUCUUUUGUCCAAAAGUCCACCUGUCGCCUAGUGAAUAUUUUUGGCUCCACAAAUGCCCCCACACCUGUUGGGCUGCUCGCAAAAAAAGGGCAGCAGGUGUAGAGAUCUUCUUGCUUUAGGAAACUUAAGACUGCUUCCUAUUUUGAUGUUGAUUCUCUCUUUAAUAGGAAAUUAGAUCCUUCUAGGAAAGGGAAAUAAAUUUCUCUCAAAGCCUAUUUAACUCCACCUUAAGUGGGUUAUUAAAUCAACUUUGGAAAGCAAUUUAUUCUACCCUACAAGAGAGAGAUAGCUUAGAGGAUAUUUGUUCCCCCUCCUCUAGCAAUCUUCUACAUCUUGCCCGUGCAAAGGACCGUCUUUCGUUGCUUUCUUCGUCUUCUUCGUGCCGCACCGAUGUAAGAAAAAUUUAAUUUUUCUUGCCUUAUUCUUGGAUAGUGCUAUUGCGGGGCAGUCGUCGGGGUGGUGCGGCACAUCGGCUGGCAGGGGCCAGGAGUUGGCUCGGCAUGGGCCGAGGAGAUGUUGUGGCAGGGACCACUGCUUGGGCAGCUUGGCUUGGCUUGAGCCAAAAGGCAGCUUGUGCAACUAGGGUCGCGGAUUGUGGCGCUGGGGCGCAGUGCUAGGCGAGCCGCAUGGCUCAUGUCCUUUGGGCUCUUGGACCUGACUCGGGCCAGGCUGGUGAUUGAGAGAAAUAAAGAGAUUGCGGGUCUCAUGGGCUGCUGGAAUGUUGGGCAUGCAGGCCUCCUGCCUGUUGGAAUGCUGGGUUGAGCUCCCCUACUGAGUACCAUGAAUGUAGUUGGCUGCUUAGUCCUCUUUGCCGAAAGAAAGGUGGGUUGCUCCAGAAAGAGGAGGUAAAGAGGAUCAAGGCGGAUGCAUUGGCUCGUCUGAUCGCUGUCGUGGAGCUUACUAUGAAUGAAGAUGGAAAGAAGAGAUCUUCCCCGCCUGCUCAUGAGAUGCCAGUUAAGAAAAAACUGAAGACUUCUUCUGCUGCUCAUGAGGGUCCGCUUGCUACCGAGAGGUAUGUGAUUGACAUGAUUUUCCAAUGGGAAGAAAUGUAAGGCUGCUAGAUCUGAGCAUGUGGCGUCUUCCAUGUUGAGAAUGGCUAGUACAAUUGUGGAUAAGAUUACUCAGCGUAAAGGUUUUAUCAUGCCCCCAGUGCCGAAGUCUGUACCAGGACGUUCUUUGGGAGCCAAGUCUGGUUCACCUUUGUAGAGACUUGCUAUUAUGAAGAGUGGUAAGGUGGACUCUGCUGCUAAAGUGGCGCCAAAAGCCUGCUCCCUUUGCUGCUGAGAUUGAUUCGCCUCAGAUUCAAGAUCUUAAGCUUGCAAUUUCUGAGCUUCGUUUCGCUACUUAUGCUAAGAAGAGAGUGGAUGAGCUUCUCUAUUUCUCCGGAAGACUUGCUUGCUUUUACUUUUAAGGCUUCCAUUGGUGAAGUAGUUGGAGAAGUUAGUGCCCAGACUGGGGCAGCCGGGGGUGAAGCGCCGGAUGAUGCCGCUGCUAAGAGCGUUACGGCUGUUGAAGGUGUGGCGACCGAGUAGUCGUGGAAUGUCCAAGCUGCUGUAGUGUAGUAUUUUAGGUAGCCUUUAGGAUUUUCUUUGUUUUUCCUUGUAGCUUUUGUUCUGCUUGAACUCCUUCAACCUUUGCUAGUUGUUUAUAAACAUGUUUUCCUUCGUUUUUCUUCAUCUUCACUUCUUUUGUUCAUGCCCUAACCUUUAGACUUGAUAGACCAGUGGCAGGCAUGCUACUUUUUUAUAAGCAGACAAACUCGCGUAGCCUAUGCAGCCGUAGAUGUUGGUGUAGAACUUUGCAAAGUUGUUAGCCAUAGGGUUGGCAGCCGGAUGCCUUACUUACAGAAGCAGAGCAAGUAUCACAUUACGCGUAACCACUAGGCUGUUAACUUUGACUUUCUUCAAUUCCAUAGGUUGCGUAGCAAGUAUCACAACACUUUAGGACUUGGUGUAGGUUGUUCCGCGCUUGGCAGAGGUGAAGCUUAUCGACUACGUAGCAUGUCGGCAGUGGAUAAAACUUCGUAUAUGCGCGCUAGCUUGUCUAACCUUUCACAAGAAUGUGCGGUUGUAUAAGUCUAGUGCGGCUUUACUGCUCGAAGGGCAAGCCGUAGGCAAUCUUCCGGAAUCCGUAGGUUACCUUAGUGCACUCGGUAGCAGCUUUAGGAUUCCAGGGCAGCCGUCCAUCGGAUGUACUGCGUAAUGUGCCCUCUCCGUCUCUAGGGCCCGGUUCCCCACGGAUUAGGCCAAGAGACCCAAAAUCCUUCAGUUAGCUAAACCUUGAAAAAGACCAUUGCGGCUACUUCUAGGAAUCCCGGCGCAAGCCAUCGUGCAUCUAGUUAUACUAGGGCAGCCAGGCUCAUCCACGUCUGGAUAUUCGGAGUGUAAAGUUUAUCCUCCCGUCUUGGAGAGCUGACCCAUAUGGGUGUUGGAGAAUUGGUUUACCCUCUCGCACUGGAGAGCAUGGUUGGUCCCUCGGGGGGCGCAAUUCCUGCGAUAAGUCCCUAAGAAGGGUGCAGUCUUCUUUUGAAGUGCAAGAGUGAUUAGUUGUUGUAAGCAUGCAGCCAAGCCAAGUUGUGAUUACUUCUAAAUUCCUCAUUGAAAAACGAGUGAAACGAACGAGAACUUUAGCUGUAAAGUAGGAACUGCAUAACAACUGGAUAGUCCUCAGCUUGUGAGGUGGUGCCCGUCGAGCUUAUUGAGUCUUCGGGUUUUGAUGUAGCGGGAGGUCACACAUGGUACUUCUUCAGAUUGUAGGCCAUCCAUUUUUUUUUCAAUCUUUUUGCCGCUUCAUGGUGGUGAGGGUGUAAUUACUCUUGCCCCCUACUCUGCUGAUCUUGUACGGACCUUCCUAGAUGGGAUCCAUCUUUUUGGAGCCUUCUCUGCCGGCAGUGAUGAAGGCUUUUCUGCGCCGUCGACAUGCAAAUGCCAGAAGUCUCCAUCGGGUGGAGUAGGCGCAGCUAGAGUGUGCUCGGCUACUUCUGAGGCAUCGUUGGGCCGCUCUGUUGCGUCACCUAGGCUCGGCGUGAAGGCGCAGUAGGGAGCUAUGGAGAUGGGGCCAUGUCAUACGCAACAGGAGAUGCUCAACUGCGGGUAUUGGGCCACUCUAGAGUUGAAUCAUUGAGCAAAGGUCGGCUAGGGCCGUGUGAUGCGCAACAAGAAAUGGUACUCAACUGCCGUUACAUGUUGCUCCUAUGUAGAAUCCUUCAGGGUGACGAGGACAAAACUUGCUUUCAAGUGUAUCUUUCCAGUGUUACGUUCGUCAGAAAACUUUACAUCCGCCAGGGUCUACGCCUUUAUCGUCGCGCGUCUGGAUUGGGCAGAAUAGUACGUCAUUAAGAUGAUUGCAUGCGUUUGAAAGUAAGAUUUGUGUUUCUAGGUUGCAACAACUAUCGCCAAAGUUAACUUUUGAAUUUUUAAUAACAUCGAUGAGAGCUUUUGAACUGUAGAAUACAGGUAACUGUGGAAUACAGGUAGUCGGGCCCCCAUCUCUUCUCGCAUGAUGGUAGAGCUUAUUGCUACUUUAGAUAACGUCAAACAUGUGAAUAAGUCCUCCGCUGCUUCUAGGGAGGUGAUGUCGGGUACUUCUUCAAGUUCUUGAAUGUGCAUUGGCGAGCCUCAUCCCAAAGUGCAUACUUCUCUGCCAAAGCAAAAGAGUCUGCCAGAGUUAGAUCUUCUUUCAUGAUCAAUUUUCCGAAUAGCGGGUGGUCUGCUGGAAGUCCUUUUUGGAAGGCUGCUCUAGCUAUCGAGUCGUUGCAUCCGACUAUUUUUGCCUUCUCUACUUUGAACCUCCUCACAUAGUCGCGAAGCGACUCCUUUGGGUUCUUCUUGACGUUGAACAAAUGAUCAGACUUCUUUUUUAUUGAGCGAUAGGAUGAAUAUUCUUUGGUGAAAACCAAAGAAAGUUCGUAGAAAUCCCAGAUGGAUUGUGGCGGCAGGGUGUAGAACCAAUCUUGCGCCUCGCCUUGUAGAGUAGUGGCGAAUAUCUUGCACAUGAGCUCAUCGUUGUUUCGAUAAAGGAUCAUUGCGCUUCGGUAGCGCUUUAAGUGUCUCUCCGGGUCUUCAUCCCCUUUGAAAGAUGUGAAAUGUGGCAUGCUGAACUCUCGUGGAGGCUCUGCCUGCUCGAUCUCGUCCGUGAAGGGUGACCUGCUUAUGUUGGUCAUGUUCCGUCGUAGUGCCUCGUUGGUGACCUCGUUGCGUUGGAAAUCAUGCAAUCGCUUGGUCAAGAGUCUCUCUACUUCUUCCUGAAUUUGCCUUUGUUGGGGGUAGUGCAGCUCUCGGCUGCCCCCAGCCAUGACUUGCUGGUCUAGGCUGCUCUUCCAUGUGUUUUGGCUCGUCUAUGCCGCAGAUGCAGUGCAUAUGGUGCAUUCCUAGCAGGCGAGCGAGUUCUUCGCAGGCUGCUGGUUAAACUUGAGCUGGAUUGAGUGACUGCUUCUCUCCGUCCGUCGUGCUGCCUACUCUGAUGUGAGGUGGAUGAUGCUCCUUGUGGGCUUAGCCGCGAAUGAACAUUUUGUCUGGAAGGUUGCUCAUGUUGACUAUCGGAGUGUGACCCCAACCGUGAAUGUAUGCUCAUCCGUGGGCCUAGUCGAGAGUACACGCUCCUCCGCGCGCUAAGACGAGAGUAUACGCUAUCUCGGGGGCCCAAUCGGGAAUGUACACUGCCUGAACGUUCAGCUCGUGGCUGGUCGAAUGGCUGCUUGCUGGGAUGCUGCUGGAAAGGUUCGUCUGCCAUUGUCCUACUUCGGGAUACCUCAUCCGGGGCACGUUGGAUCCCGAUGCGUUGCAAAAGUUGAUUCACCAAAGUUGUCUGUUGUGCAAGAGUGCUCGUCAACUCUAUGACUUGUCGAGACAAGUGUUGUUCGCCAUUUGGAUUGGAAGAGCUUGGAAGGAAUGCGCCUCCUUGAGCAGUGGAAGGGUGGUAGACUCCGGGCGCGAGAUUUGAGUUGGGAAAUGUCAAAUCAGCGAAAAAAUGUGGUGAGAAUGCCCCCGGCUCAAUGGUAGGUCCAGAUGGUUGAGAUAGUUUUGGGCCGACUUGGGCUGCUUGGAAAGCCACGGGAGCAGUGUGGGCCUUAAGAGUGGGCUGCUCGUCGGGAGUGGGCUGCUCGUUGGGAGCAGGCUGGGUCACGAGAGCAGGCUGCUUGGCAGGAGCAGGUUGCUUGGCGGGAGCAGGCUGGGCCACGGAAGCAGGCUGCUUGGCAGGAGCAGGUUGCUUGGCGGGAGCAGGCUGGGCCACGGAAGUAGGCUGCUUGGCAGGAGCAGGCUGGGCCACGGGAGUGGGCUGCUUGGCAGGAGCAGGCUGGGCCACGGGAGUGGGUUGCUCGACGGGAGCAGGCUGCUCAAUGCGCGGUGCAUGUGAAUGCGAGGCUUGGGCUUGGGUCCACGUGAACUUGGAUGGCACGGCUUGGAUCGUGGUCUUGGUACCGUGAGCCUUGGAUGGCACGGCUCGGGCCGUGGUGAAGGCUCCAUGGACCUCGCCACGAGUGGCUACCGAAGUAGCCAUCGUGGUGGUUCCCAUGGUGGCCGUGGUGAAGGCAUCAUGGACCUGUAGCCACCACGGUGGUUCCCAUGGUGGCCGUGGUGAAGGCAUCAUGUGGAAGCUCGUGGUGAUGAUGCCGCUCCCCUUAUUGUCGCAUUUUGCCUUACGGAUCUCCGGGUCGUGGUGAAGGCUCCAUGGACCUCGCCACGAGUGGCUACCGAAGUAGCCACCGCGGUGGUUCCCAUGGUGGCCGUGGUGAAGGCACCAUGGACCUCGCCGCGGGUAGCUACCGAAGUAGCCACCACGGUGGUUCCCAUGGUGGAAGCUCGUGAUGAUGAUGCCGCUCCCCUUAUUGUCGCAUUUAGCCUCACGGAUCUCCGCAAUCCCAUUUCUUGAACAUUAGAAUUUUCACUUGUGGAAUUUUCUAAAUUUCUAGCCAUUAUAUUUUGCUUAUACGUUUUAUCAAAGAACCUUUGCAAGUAAAAAAUUCUAAUAAUAAGAACGUAUGAAAAAUAUUCAAAUGGACUAGAAAAUAAAGAAAAAACCUUUUUUGUGCAAGAGUCUUCUACGAGUAUGGAUUUCAACUCUCAAUGAAAGCACCAAUUUGUGGAUGCAAAUUUCUUCCUCCUCGAUCUUGGACGAUUUUGCACCUACAAAACAAUUAACACCUUAGGUUAAGACCAAGAGCCUCACGCGCCCACGAUGAAUGGGGGGGGCUUUGGCCGAAGAACCUCCGAUGCCAAAGUUAGAAUUUAGAGAGAAAGAGUGUUUAGAGAAUUUUGGGAUUUUUGCCAAAGUGUUGGAAUUAGCUUUUUGGUGAGAAUGGGAGUAUAUUUAUAGGGAUAGGAGGUGGCUAGGGUUUUUUAGGUUUAAUUAGCCAAUUUAUUUGGCUAUUAAAACAUAAAAUGAAUGUUUUGGUGGUUUUUUUGUAUAAUUGGCUAAUAAAAAGGAAGAAAUGGUGGGAAAAGGUAGAAAAAAGGUAAUGGAUUAGGUUUUUCAAUGGGAUAGCCAGCCCUCUUGUGUUUUUAGGUUUGAGUGGAUGUUUCAAAUUGACAAUUAAGGGAUUGAUUAGGUAAUUAAUCCCUUAAUUAGUCAAUUAUUAUGAUUUUAUGAAAUAUGAAAGGAAUAAGUAUAUUAUUUAGCUAAUUGAUUAGCUAAAUAAUGAAAUGGGAAAUAUAUGAAUAAAUUAGGUUUUAAGUUUAUACCUAUUUUGGGCACUUUUGACUUGGUUGAAAAAAUGAUUCUCUACUGCUCGCGUGUAGGAAACCCGGUAUGCCUCGAGGGUAUUUUUGUCCUCUUUUGUCCAAAAGUCCACGUGUCGCCUAGUGAAUAUUUUUGGCUCCACAAAUGCCCCCACACCUGUUGGGCUGCUCGCAAAAAAGGGCAGCAGGUGUAGAGAUCUUCUUGCUUUAGGAAACUUAAGACUGCUUCCUAUUUUGAUGUUGAUU
rnacentral:lncRNA from 1 species